UGAAGAUUCUAGGUGGCCACUAACUCCAUUAAAAAUCGACAUGUUGGAAAAAUCUUAUAUUGAAAAAGCUGCUUAUUUUCCAUUAAGUAGAAACCCAAAAGAUAAGCCAAAAAGUUGGAUAAUCUACACCUUCUUCAACCUAUUUUCUGGGUUGAAAUUUCAUCAGAAAUCAGGAAAAAAAUUAACAAAGGGGAAAAUUUAUAGCAUCCUUCGAUCCAAAAUUUUCUUGGUAGUUUAAAUACUCAGAGCCAAAGGGCUCCAACUUCUCUCAGACAAGGUAACAAUUCACCAUAAGUAUGGGUACCCAUGAUUUCUUCAAGCCCUCCAAGCAAAUUUUCGCCGACAAACACCAUCAGAAAACGAAAGUGGAGCAUCCUUCUUCCACCGUGACGAUCUUUGACAAUUCAUUCAUAACAACAGCUUCGUCCUGUUCAUCCACAUCAAAUAGGGUAGGGUUGGCACCAUGGCCGUGAAGAAAAAGAUCACAUGGCACAUGUAGCAAACUCUUCGGGCAAACACCACCAUCAUAUUUUUCGUCAACAAAUUUUUCACAAUCGCCUUGUUGUCAUCACUCGUUCUUCUGUUCCUCGAUGGAGGAUUGGCGACAGCCUCUGCCUAUGGUGAUGGUUGAAAGCCAGUCUCUAUAUGGGAAUGCUUUCUGCAUGGUGAGUAUUGGGUAAAUGCAGGUGACUUUUGGGACGGUGGUGGGUUUAUAUAAAUUAACAAGAGGGCUAUGAUGAACAGGGAAUUAGGGUUCGUGUUAAUUUAAGGUUUUUCAAUUUUGGUUUUGAUUUGAUAUAGUCUUGAUUUGGGAUUCCAUUGAUGUAAUCUGGGGGAAGAAAAUGAUUUUGACUGUGGGGGAACUUUAAUUAUAUCUUCUUUUUCUUUUUAUAAUA
rnacentral:lncRNA from 1 species